UAGUUUGAUCCUGGCUCAGAAUCAACGCUGGCGGCGUGCCUCAGACAUGCAAGUCGAACGCGAAAGUUCCCUUCGGGGGGCGAGUAGAGUGGCGCACGGGUGAGUAACACGUAGGUAAUCUACCUUUGGAUUGGGAAUAACCACCGGAAACGGUGGCUAAUACCGAAUAAUGCAGCGGCACCUAAUGGUGACAGUUGUUAAAGCGGGGGAUCGAAAGACCUCGCGUCUGAAGAGGAGCCUGCGGCAGAUUAGCUAGUUGGUAGGGUAACGGCUUACCAAGGCGAUGAUCUGUAGCCGGCCUGAGAGGGCGGUCGGCCACACUGACACUGACAUACGGGUCAGACUCCUACGGGAGGCAGCAGUCGGGAAUUUUGGGCAAUGGGCGAAAGCCUGACCCAGCAACGCCGCGUGAAGGAUGAAAUCCCUCGGGAUGUAAACUUCGCAAGAACGGGAAGAAUAAGCCGGUGUCAACACCACCGGUGAUGACGGUACUGUUUGUAAGCUCCGGCUAACUCCGUGCCAGCAGCCGCGGUAAUACGGGGGGAGCAAGCGUUGUUCGGAUUUACUGGGCGUAAAGGGCGCGUAGGCGGCCACCGCAAGUCGACUGUGAAAUCUCCGGGCUUAACCCGGAACGGUCAGCCGAUACUGCGGGGCUAGAGUGCAGAAGGGGCAACUGGAAUUCUCGGUGUAGCGGUGAAAUGCGUAGAUAUCGAGAGGAACACCUGCGGCGAAGGCGGGUUGCUGGGCUGACACUGACGCUGAGGCGCGAAAGCUAGGGGAGCGAACGGGAUUAGAUACCCCGGUAGUCCUAGCCUUAAACGAUGAAUGCUUGGUGUCUGGGGUUUUAUAGUCCCCGGGUGCCGUCGCUAACGCUUUAAGCAUUCCGCCUGGGGAGUACGGUCGCAAGACUGAAACUCAAAGGAAUUGACGG
rnacentral:rRNA from 1 species